rnacentral:lncRNA from 1 species
GUGGCACGAUCUCAGCUCCCUGCAACCUCCACCUCCCGGGUUUAAGAGAUUCUCCUGCGUCAGCCUCCCGAGUAGCUGGGAUUACAGGCACCCACCACCAAGCUUGGCUAAUUUUUGAAUUUUUAGUAGAGACAGGGUUUUUUCAUGCUGGCUGGGCUGGUCUUGAAUUCAAGACCUCAAGUGAUCUACCCGCCUUGGCCUCCCAAAGGGCUGGGAUUACAGGUGUGAGCCACUGCGCCCGGCCUGUUUUUAACUAUUUCUAAGUUUUCACAGGUCUGCGAAGAACAGGCAUUUAAGGAGAGAAAUGCAAGAGUUCUCUGCCGCUGAAUUCCCCCACCUGGCACAUGAUAUGAGCCUGCACCUCAAUAGCCUCCUGCCUGCACCCUGACAGCCUCCUGCCUGCAUUCCUGCUCACUUCUCCAGUUCCAGUGGAGGCAAAGACUCUGACCCAUCCUGGUACUUCCCUGUGUGGCCCCUCUGUGGCAUGGCCCCUGCUCUUGGUACCUAACAUAAUUUUGGACACAGUGAAUUUUGGACACAUGAACUGCAAGAAAGAUCUGAAGUGAGACUCGGGAUACAGAAUAGAAGUACCGGGGCACAGAGUCCAGUCCAGCAGAAUGGAGACUAAUUCUGUGGCCCGGUGGGUGUGUUUCUGUUGUCUCUGGCCCCUCUUUGUCCUGGCUUCCGUCCUUGGUGUUUGGACAGAAGCCCCACCUUGUACUUGAACAUAAUCAUGAUAGGGACAGGAGGCGGGGAAAUUCUGGGCAGAAGAGGGUGAGUCCCCAGUGAGGGCCUCACCCUCAAGCCUGGAAUUAUAGCCCAAAGUAAGAACAUGCAUUCCUGUUUUCCCACUCAAAUGUUGCUUUUUCCAAAACCACCCAUGGCCCACCCCCACCCCCAUCCUGCACCCAUAAAAACCCCAGGCUUCACUGGCUCCACCAGCAAAGAGCAGAGAAGAGGAGAAGCAGCUGGACAUUGGAGACUAUGGUUGGACAUCAGAGGGAGGCAGCUUGACUUCAGAGGGGCAGCUUGAUGGUGUUGCUUUGGAGAGGAGUCCAGCUGGAGAUGGCUAGACUUGGGGAAAAUCACCUUCCAGCUCCAUCCCCUUGCCAGUUCUCCUUCCUGCUGAGACCCACUUUCACUGGCAAUAAAAUCCUCCAUGUUCACCACCCUUCCAUUUGUUUGUGUGACCUGAUUUUUCCUAGAUUCUGAACAAGAGCUCAGAUACCACGAGUGCACAUGCAAAAGGCUGUCACACUGACCCUCUGCCCUCACUGGUGGAAAGCAGCCGCCUCAUGCGAAAAGG